GUGUAGCUUCUGACAUCCCUAGGAGACACAGUCUCACAGCCAAUUCUCUGAUCUUCUGGCUCCUAGAAUCUUUAGCUUUUAACAUAUGGAAUCUCUGUGGAUGCUUCAUACAAUGCUUCAUUUCAUCCACCUCGAAGAGAGAGGAACAUUGGGGAUCAUCUCCAGGGGUCUCUUGCAGGAGGGCCAAAAGGAGCCCGAGGUCAUCAGAUCCCAUAGGAGUUACAGUGGGCAGCCCACAGCCUUGCAAAGGAAUCUGUUGGAGCAGAAUCUUCAACUACUGUGCUGAUAGAUUCAGUUCCUAAUACAACAUGGUGGGCCUGAUCUCAUUCUAAAUCCAAAAUGUGCUUGAAUGUGAGACUCUGCUCCAAGACCUCCAGAAUGGUCAUCUUCAUGGUAAAGAAACCAGUGAUAUGGUCGUGAUUCAUAAAUCAUCCUUGUUGAAAAAGAAGAUCACUUGCUGAUCUAUGAUGACUAGUAGAUGACUGGCCCUUAAACUUGGUAUAGGCUAGGUAAGUAUAGCUCUCCACCCCCUCAACAAAGAAGCUUCUUUUUACCACAGAUGGAGACCAUUACAGAAACCCACACAGUACAGAGAACAUAUGACAGUGUAUUGUCAAACCAUAAUGGGUACAUCUCAGUGACAGACUAUGAAUCUAGUCACACUUCUGCUGGUAUCUUGAGUGCAGGCUGGGCUCUCGGUGUUCAGCACUCAUUGCUGGAUACAGAGACUCAGCCCUGGCCUCAGGGUUUCUGGUGAAGCCACUGAUCUGAUCAGCGUGUGGUCCUCAGCCUGGCAGUGCAGCAGCAGUGAGUACUCAGGCCCUCAGCAGUGCCAAGUUCACACCUUCACCUCCCAGUCGCCCCACCCUCUCUGUUUCAGGCUUGGCACCAUCACUGGUGAUUCAGAAACCCUGGUUUAGAGAAUUUGAGAAUUCCCCAUAGGGGAAAAAUAUUUGUGUAAGAAACGGCCUCUCAACUUCCCAACAUUGGACUGAAAGAAAAAAAGAUGUUCUGCUCAAAAUUUUGGCAAUGUUCUGAAUCGAUAAAGACUGAAAUAUACAAGGAGAUGAAAAGAAAAUAUGAAGUU